UUGAAGAAUAGCUCAGCUGGUAGAGCACGAGACUCUUAAUCUCAGGGUUGUGGGUUUGAGCCCUACAUUGGGGAAAAG